GCGGGUAUCGUAUAACGGCUAUUAUGCUACCUUCCCAAGGUAGAGACGAGGGUUCGACUCCCUCUACCCGCACCA
rnacentral:tRNA from 1 species